rnacentral:sRNA from 10 species
CGGCGACCGACGAGUGACCAACUGCAGACGGAAGCGAGGGGGAAGCCGUGGGAAGAGUGCUCAGGUAGAAAAGCGUAGCGAAGGGCCGGCACAAACGCAGUUCGCUACCCACCGAGGGUGAGGGGAUACCACCCGAGGGGCCAGAUGGAAUCCCGGUCUGGACGCCUGAGAGGCUCGAAAAAAAAAGA